UUUGACCACUGAGACGAGAGUGUUGGGCAGCCUUCAACUAGUUCUUCAGAAAUAGCAGGCUGAACAUCCCAUAUAAUAUCACAGAUAAGAUGGAUACAAAAUAGCCCGAAGAAAAUGGACAGAUGUGUGAUUUAUUCAGGUGCCUUUCCGCGAUAGCUACAGGAGAGAAGAAGAGGGGAGAUCUGCAGGAGAUUUCCUUUGGGAGUGUUCGAUGCGUAUUUCGAACAUGUUAGCAAGCAGGAAGGAGGCGUGAAGUAAUCAUGUGGAACUGGAAACAAUCUGACACGAUAGAGAACAGAGAGAGAGAGA
ensembl:lncRNA